rnacentral:rRNA from 1 species
AUUGAACGCUGGCGGCAUGCUUUACACAUGCAAGUCGAACGGUAACAGGGAGCUUGCUCCGCUGACGAGUGGCGAACGGGUGAGUAAUGCGUCGGAACGUGCCGAGUAGUGGGGGAUAACGCAGCGAAAGUUGUGCUAAUACCGCAUACGUACUGAGGUAGAAAGUGGGGGACCUUCGGGCCUCACGCUAUUCGAGCGGCCGACGUCUGAUUAGCUAGUUGGUGAGGUAAAGGCUCACCAAGGCGACGAUCAGUAGCGGGUCUGAGAGGAUGAUCCGCCAAACGGGGACUGAGACACGGCCCAGACUCCUACGGGAGGCAGCAGUGGGGAAUUUUGGACAAUGGGCGCAAGCCUGAUCCAGCCAUGCCGCGUGUCUGAAGAAGGCCUUCGGGUUGUAAAGGACUUUUGUCCGGGAGCAAAUACCCAGUGCUAAUAACGCUGGGGGCUGAGAGUACCGGAAGAAUAAGCACCGGCUAACUACGUGCCAGCCGCCGCAGUAACAC